GACGAACGCUGGCGGCGUGCUUAACACAUGCAAGUCGAACGAAAAGAGGGAAAGAGCUUGCUCUUUCCGGAAUUGAGUGGCAAACGGGUGAGUAACACGUAAACAACCUGCCUUCAGGAUGGGGACAACAGACGGAAACGACUGCUAAUACCGAAUAAGUUCCAAGGGCCGCAUGGCCCAUGGAAGCAAAGUUGGCCUCUACCUGUAAGCUAUCCCCUGCAGAUUGGUUUGCGUCUGAUUAGCUGGUUGGCGGGGUAACGGCCCACCAAAGCGACGAUCAGGAGGCGGUCUGAGAGGAUGAACGGGCAAACUGGGAACGGGACACGGGCCAGACUCCCACGGGAGGCAGCAGUGGGGAAACUUCCGGAAUGGGGGGAAGCCGGAAGGGGCAAAGCCGCGGGAGGGAUGACGGCCGUCGGGUUGGAAAACUCUGGGAUCCGGGACGAAAAGACAGGGUGCGAAGAACAAACUGCAUUGACGGUACCGGAAAAGCAAGCCACGGCUAACUACGUG
rnacentral:rRNA from 1 species